AGCAGACCCGACGGUAAUUUCCGUAGCUCCAAUAGCGUAUAUUAAAGUUCGUUGGCAGUUAAAAAGCGUCGUAGUUGAAUUUCGGGAUUGACGUGAUGGUCAUGCCUUAAGGGGUAUGAACUGUUACAGUUGAUUUCUCACCUUCUGGAGAAACUUGAUGUCCUUUAUUUGGGUGUCUUGCGGAUCCAGGACCUUUACCUUGAAAAAAUUAGAGUGUUUAAAGCAGGCAUUUUUGCUCGAAUACAUUAGCAUGGAAUAAUAGAAUAGGACGGCAUGGUUCUAUUUUGUUGGUUUCUAGGAUCACCGUAAUGAUUAAUAGGGAUAGUUGGGGGCAUUAGUAUUCAAUUGUCAGAGGUGAAAUUCUUGGAUUUAUUGAAGACUAACUACUGCGAAAGUAUUUGCCAAGGAUGUUUUCAUUAAUCAAGAACGAAAGUUAGGGGAUCGAAGACGAUCAGAUACCGUCGUAGUCUUAACCAUAAACUAUGCCGACUAGGAAUCAGACGAUGUUAAUUUUUUUAAU
rnacentral:rRNA from 1 species